ACCUGGAUAUCUCAGUCGGUAGAGAAUCAGACUCUUAAUCUGAGGUUCCAGGGUUCAAGUCUCUGUUCAGGCA